UGCGUAGGCGGUUUGAUCAGUCAGUGGUGAAAGUUUGCAGCUUAACUGUAAAAUUGCCAUUGAUACUGUCAGACUUGAGUACAGAUGAGGUAGGCGGAAUGUGUAGUGUAGCGGUGAAAUGCUUAGAUAUUACACAGAACACCGAUUGCGAAGGCAGCUUACUAAACUGUCACUGACGCUGAGGCACGAAAGUGUGGGGAUCAAACAGGAUUAGAUACCCUGGUAGUCC
rnacentral:rRNA from 1 species